UACAGAGGGGGCGAGCGUUAUUCGGAAUUACUGGGCGUAAAGCGUGCGCAGGCGGUUUUGUAAGUCUGACGUGAAAUCCCCGGGCUUAACCUGGGAAUUGCGUUGGAGACUGCAAGGCUGGGAGUCUGGCAGAGGGGGGUAGAAUUCCACGUGUAGCAGUGAAAUGCGUAGAGAUGUGGAGGAACACCAGUGGCGAAGGCGGCUACCUGGACCGGUUCUGACGCUGAUGCGCGAAAGCGUGGGUAGCAAACAGG
rnacentral:rRNA from 1 species